AACGAACGCUGGCGGCAUGCCUAACACAUGCAAGUCGAACGGGACCUUCGGGUCUAGUGGCGCACGGGUGCGUAACGCGUGGGAACCUGCCCUUAGGUUCGGAAUAACUCCCCGAAAGGGGUGCUAAUACCGGAUAAUGUCUUCGGACCAAAGAUUUAUCGCCUUUGGAUGGGCCCGCGUUGGAUUAGCUAGUUGGUAGGGUAAAAGCCUACCAAGGCGACGAUCCAUAGCUGGUCUGAGAGGAUGAUCAGCCACACUGGGACUGAGACACGGCCCAGACUCCUACGGGAGGCAGCAGUGGGGAAUAUUGGACAAUGGGCGCAAGCCUGAUGCAGCAAUGCCGCGUGAGUGAUGAAGGCCUUAGGGUUGUAAAGCUCUUUUACCCGGGAUGAUAAUGACAGUACCGGGAGAAUAAGCCCCGGCUAACUCCGUG
rnacentral:rRNA from 1 species